UACGUAGGGCGCAAGCGUUGUCCGGAAUUAUUGGGCGUAAAGAGCUCGUAGGCGGCCUGUUGCGUCCGCUGUGAAAUCCCGGGGCUCAACCCCGGGCCUGCAGUGGAUACGGGCUGGCUAGAGGCAGGCAGGGGAGACUGGAAUUCCUGGUGUAGCGGUGAAAUGCGCAGAUAUCAGGAGGAACACCGGCGGCGAAGGCGGGUCUCUGGGCCGUAACUGACACUGAGGAGCGAAAGCGUGGGGAGCAAACAGG
rnacentral:rRNA from 1 species